AGGUCUUGCCUGCCCAGUGACAAGUUAAACGGCCGCGGUAUUUUGACCGUGCGAAGGUAGCGCAAUCACUUGUCUUUUAAAUGAAGACCUGUAUGAAUGGCGGAACGAGGGCUUAACUGUCUCCCCUUUCAAGUCAAUGAAAUUGAUCUGCCCGUGCAGAAGCGGGCAUGAGAAUACAAGACGAGAAGACCCUUUGGAGCUUAAGAUACAAGACCAACUACGUCAAGGGCACACAAUAUUAAACCAAACUAAGUAGUACCUGGUCAAUAUCUUCGGUUGGGGCGACCACGGGAGAAAACAAAGCUCCCAUGCGGAUUGGGAUUACACCCCUAACACCAAGAAAGACAUUUCUAAGUCACAGAAUAUCUGACCACAAAGAUCCGGCUUUUCGCCGAUCAACGGACCAAGUUACCCUAGGGAUAACAGCGCAAUCCCCUUUCAGAGUCCAUAUCGACAAGGGGGUUUACGACCUCGAUGUUGGAUCAGGACAUCCUAAUGGUGCAGCCNNUNUUAAGGGUUCGUUUGUUCAACGAUUAAAGUCCUACGUG
rnacentral:rRNA from 1 species